rnacentral:rRNA from 1 species
UACGUAGGGGGCAAGCGUUGUCCGGAAUCAUUGGGCGUAAAGCGCGUGUAGGCGGUCCGGUAAGUCCGCUGUGAAAGUCGGGGGCUUAACCCUCGGAUGCCGGUGGAUACUGUCGGGCUAGAGUACGGAAGAGGCGAGUGGAAUUCCUGGUGUAGCGGUGAAAUGCGCAGAUAUCAGGAGGAGCACCAAUUGCGAAGGCAGCUCGCUGGGACGUAACUGACGCUGAGACGCGAAAGCGUGGGGAGCAAACAGG